AUUUUAAUUGUUAUAAUAUUGAUUGAUAUUGUUCUCCAAUCAUAUGCUAUUUCAAACAUCCAUUUCCACUUAUAAAUAUAUUACAAGCAAUUUCUUUCCUUUUAUGACUUAUAAUUUCUCUUAAUACCCUUCUCACCCUUAUGCAUUUGCAGGUUUUCUUCACUAUUUCAAACAUCCAUUUCCACUUAUAAAUAUAUUACAAGCAAUUUCUUUCCUUUUAUGACUUAUAAUUUCUCUUAAUACCCUUCUCACCCUUAUGCAUUUGCAGGUUUUCUUCCAUCGCCUCUUCU
rnacentral:lncRNA from 1 species